ensembl:snRNA U6 U6 spliceosomal RNA
GUGCUCACUUAGGCAGCACAUACACCAAAAUUGUAAAGAUGCAGAGAUGAGCAUGGCACCUGGACAAGGAUAACACUCGCAAUGGUAAUUUUAUGUGUUU